AAGAUUAAGCCAUGCAUGUCUAAGUAUAAGCAAUUAUACAGCGAAACUGCGAAUGGCUCAUUAUAUAAGUUAUCGUUUAUUUGAUAGUGCCUUACUACUUGGAUAACCGUGGUAAUUCUAGAGCUAAUACAUGCUACAAGCCCUGACUUCGGAAGGGGCGUAUUUAUUAGAUUAAAAACCAACGCCCUCUGGGCUCCUUGGUGAAUCAUGAUAACUUCACGAAUCGCACGGCCUUGCGCCGGCGAUGGCUCAUUCAAAUUUCUUCCCUAUCAACUUUCGAUGUUUGGGUAGUGGCCAAACAUGGUUGCAACGGGUAACGGAGGGUUAGGGCUCGACCCCGGAGAAGGAGCCUGAGAAACGGCUACUACAUCCAAGGAAGGCAGCAGGCGCGCAAAUUACCCAAUCCCGACUCGGGGAGGUAGUGACAAUAAAUACUGAUACAGGGCUCUUUCGGGUCUUGUAAUCGGAAUGAGUACAAUUUAAAUCCCUUAACGAGGAACAAUUGGAGGGCAAGUCUGGUGCCAGCAGCCGCGGUAAUUCCAGCUCCAAUAGCGUAUAUUAAAGUUGUUGUGGUUAAAAAGCUCGUAGUUGAACCUUGGGCCUGGCUGGCCGGUCCGCCUCACCGCGUGUACUGGUCCGGCCGGGCCUUUCCCUCUGUGGAACCUCAUGCCCUUCACUGGGUGUGCAGGGGAAACAGGACUUUUACUUUGAAAAAAUUAGAGUGCUCCAGGCAGGCCUAUGCUCGAAUACAUUAGCAUGGAAUAAUAAAAUAGGACGUGCGGUUCUAUUUUGUUGGUUUCUAGGACCGCCGUAAUGAUUAAUAGGGACAGUCGGGGGCAUCAGUAUUCAAUUGUCAGAGGUGAAAUUCUUGGAUUUAUUGAAGACUAACUACUGCGAAAGCAUUUGCCAAGGAUGUUUUCAUUAAUCAGGAACGAAAGUUAGGGGAUCGAAAACGAUCAGAUACCGUUGUAGUCUUAACCAUAAACUAUGCCGACUAGGGAUCGGACGAUGUUAUUUUUUGACUCGUUCGGCACCUUACGAGAAAUCAAAGUGCUUGGGCUCCAGGGGGAGUAUGGUCGCAAGGCUGA
rnacentral:rRNA from 1 species